AGGGGUAGCUUGCUACCCGCUGACGAGCGGCGGACGGGUGAGUAACGCGUGAGAAUCUGCCCAUCAGUGGGGGAUAACCUGGGGAAACUCGGGCUAAUACCGCAUACGUCCUACGGGACAAAGCAGGGGACCUUUUGGCCUUGCGCUGAUGGAUGAGCUCGCGUCGGAUUAGCUUGUUGGUGAGGUAAAGGCUCACCAAGGCGACGAUCCGUAGCUGGUCUGAGAGGAUGAUCAGCCACACCGGGACUGAGACACGGCCCGGACUCCUACGGGAGGCAGCAGUGGGGAAUCUUGGACAAUGGGGGCAACCCUGAUCCAGCCAUGCCGCGUGUGUGAAGAAGGCCUUCGGGUUGUAAAGCACUUUCAGUAGGGAGGAAGGCUUCCGGUUAAUACCCGGGAGUACUUGACGUUACCUACAGAAGAAGCACCGGCUAAUUUCGUGCCAGCAGCCGCGGUAAUACGAAAGGUGCAAGCGUUAAUCGGAAUUACUGGGCGUAAAGCGCGCGUAGGCGGUGUGUUAAGUCGGAUGUGAAAGCCCAGGGCUCAACCUUGGAAUUGCAUCCGAUACUGGCACGCUAGUGCAGUAGAGGGAGGUGGAAUUUCCGGUGUAGCGGUGAAAUGCGUAGAGAUCGGAAGGAACACCAGUGGCGAAGGCGGCC
rnacentral:rRNA from 1 species